UAUCAAUGAGGGUAAGCCAUCCCCUGUAGUUGGCUGUUUUCCAUCAGAAAAUGUGAUCAUUCCCUUCUCGCUUUAUAGUAUAAUUUAUGUCCAGUCAAUUUGGUUUUGAAUGGGUUGACAUUUUUCUUAGCCAUAUAAAGUCAUGACACUCUUCUCUAUUAUGUUUUACAGGCAGGAGCUUCAUCAUGAAUACUCUCAGCAGUUUCUAACUUUGUUUCAAGAGUUGGCUAUCGAUAUACAGAAAACCAAGGAAGAAGAAGAAAAACUCACUAAUAUAUUCCGACUGCAACAGGAAUUAUUACAACACUCCAAAACUGUUGAGAGCCAGAGAAUGCGAGCAUUUGAAGAGCUGCGUGAGCAAUUCUCAAAGGUCUGUCGAAUUUGGUAACACGAUACAGUCUCAUAAAAUGGACUAUGGACAUGGCAGUAGAAAACUGUUGUUUUUCUUUCUUAAUGCAGGUUAAAAACAUUUUGGUCAUGCCUUUAAUUACUUAGGCAAUCAAAAUCACGCAUUUUCCAUUUUGAACUCACUGUUCUGAUUUUAACGUAAAUGCUAAAUGUACUUUUACUUUUCAGAUUCGUUCAUGGCUUUGUGGGUGUUUUUCAAAACCGGGAAUGGUAGAUUGGGGAUUUUACCAAGAAAUUGGCAGGAGACUGAUCCUUUAAUAACAGUUUAAUCAUGGCUGUUUGUUCCUGAGUCAGUUUUCCUUAGGAGAGCAGUGAUGAAUGUAUCAUUUGAACGUAGGAAGUCUAAAUCAUUUCUCAGCGUCAUUUACUUUUCUUUGUACGGCCAAAGUUUCUUAAACAGCAAGUAGCCAAUUCUAUUCUCAAUUGCAUUUUAUUUUAAUUUUGUUUGGAAGUAGGCUCUUAAUUUAUUCAUGAGAGACAGAAAGAGAGAGAGGCAGAGACACAGGCAGAGGGAGAAGCAGGCUCCAUGCAGGGAGACCGACGUGGGACUCGACCCCGGGUCCCCAGGAUCACACCCUGGGCUACAGGCAGCACCAAACCGUUGAGCCAUCCAGGCUGCCCUUCAGUUGCACUUUAUAAGUAUCUUGUGGCACAUUUGCUUUUAGAAUGAUUAGAGUGACUAAGAGUGGCCUUAUAUGCCAACUUACAGUUUCAAGAGACAGCACAGAUGUAUAGGAGAAUGAAGGAAGCCAGAGUGAGAGUAUAAGCUUGUGAACUGAGAUUACCUCCACUCACAUUUUCACAUUAGCAAAUUAUCCUCAGUGACACAGACCUCUGUGGCUCCAGCUUGGUGGUGGUGGUGGUGGUGCUAUUUCUUGGAAUCACUUGGCUAUUCACGGACUUUUGUGGAUCCACGUGAUCUGUAGGAUUGCUUUGUAGAAGCAUUUCUAUAGAAAGAAUAGCAUUGGGGUUUUGUCGGG
rnacentral:lncRNA from 1 species